rnacentral:rRNA from 1 species
AAUUUUGGACAAUGGGCGCAAGCCUGAUCCAGCCAUGCCGCGUGCGUGAAGAAGGCCUUCGGGUUGUAAAGCUCUUUCGGACGGAAAGACAUCGCGCAGGCUAUUACACUGCGCGGAUGACGGUACCGUCAUAAGACGCACCGGCUAACUACGUUCCAGCAGCCGCGGUCAUACGUAGGGUGCGAGCGUUCAUCGGAAUUACUGGGCGUAAAGCGUGCGCAGGCGGUUGAUUAAGACAGGCGUGAAAUCCCCGGGCUUAGCCUGGGAACUGCGCUUGUGACUGGUCAGCUAGGGUACGGCAGAGGGGGGUUGAAUUCCACGUGUAGCAGUGAAAUGCGUAGAGAUGUGGAGGAACACCGAUGGCGAAGGCAGCGCCCUGGGCCGAUACUGACGCUCAUGCACGAAAGCGUGGGUAGCAAACAGGA